rnacentral:rRNA from 1 species
AUUGAACGCUGGCGGCAUGCUUUACACAUGCAAGUCGAACGGUAACAGGCCGCAAGGUGCUGACGAGUGGCGAACGGGUGAGUAAUGCAUCGGAACGUGCCCAGUCGUGGGGGAUAACUACUCGAAAGAGUAGCUAAUACCGCAUACGAUCUAUGGAUGAAAGCGGGGGACCGUAAGGCCUCGCGCGAUUGGAGCGGCCGAUGUCAGAUUAGGUAGUCGGUGGGGUAAAGGCUCACCAAGCCAACGAUCUGUAGCUGGUCUGAGAGGACGACCAGCCACACUGGGACUGAGACACGGCCCAGACUCCUACGGGAGGCAGCAGUGGGGAAUUUUGGACAAUGGGCGCAAGCCUGAUCCAGCAAUGCCGCGUGCAGGAAGAAGGCCUUCGGGUUGUAAACUGCUUUUGUACGGAACGAAACGGCUCUGGUUAAUACCCGGGGCUAAUGACGGUACCGUAAGAAUAAGCACCGGCUAACUACGUG